rnacentral:rRNA from 1 species
CAUUACUGAAUUGUCAACAUGAAGUUGUUGCUGGCCCUCAGAUGGGGGCAUGUGCACGCUCUGUUUACACAUCCACUCACACCUGUGCACUCUCUGUAGUUCUAUGGUCUGGGGGCUCAGCCCUCCUACUGUGGUUCUGCGUAUUUACACACACACACACACUGUAAUAAAGUCUCAUGGAAUGUAUGCCGCGUUUAACGCAAUGCAAUACAACUUUCAGCAACGGAUCUCUUGGCUCUCGCAUCGAUGAAGAACGCAGCGAAAUGCGAUAAGUAAUGUGAAUUGCAGAAUUCAGUGAAUCAUCGAAUCUUUGAACGCACCUUGCGCCCUUUGGCUAUUCCGAAGGGCAUGCCUGUUUGAGUAUCAUGAACACCUCAACUCCUCAUGGCUUGCCAUGAUGAGCUUGGAUCUGGGGGUUUUGCUGGCCUGCAGUCAGCUCCCCUCAAAUGAAUCAGCUUACCAGUGUUUGGUGGCACCACAGGUGUGAUAAACAUCUAUGCUUGUGGUUCUCCACCAUGUGUAACCUUCAGUGAUGGAGGUUCGCUGGAGCUCACAAAUGUCUUUCCCCAGUGAAGACAGCUCUUUGAUUGUUUGAUCUCAAAUCAGGUAGGACUACCCGCU